rnacentral:lncRNA from 1 species
CAUCGAUGAUCUCUCUGUACUUUGCUCUGUCAAUCUUUCCCUCGAUGCUGACUCGUCUCCCAGUCCCUGGCACUGAAAAACAUCCCCACAGCAUGAUGCUGCCACCACCUUUCUUCACGAGAGUCCUUUAGGUGCCUUUUGGCGAACUCCAAGUGGGGUGUCAUGUGCCUUUUACUGAGAAGUGGCUUCUGUUUGGCCACUCUACCAUCUCCACAGAGGAACUCUGGAGCCCUGUCAAAGUCAACUGUGGGACCUUAUAUAGACAGCUCAGGCAGUGUGAGGUUUUCCCUACCCAGGCAGAGAGAGCCAGGAGUGGGGGAGGGGGAGACGAGGGGAGACGAGCGCCGGAGCUUGAAUUAUGGAUUUUGAAAGAUUUACCAUUGCUGCUGGACUGCGGAUGUUCGAAUGAAGAGAGAGGGUGACAAAGAGAGC